ACAUCCAUAUUGAUUGUAGCUAUAGUCUGGGUGGUGUUGCUAUAAAUAGCAUUUCUUUCUUCCGAAUUUUUCAUUCUACAACUCUACUUCUUUCCUUCUUCCAUUUUGUUUCUUAUUUUUCUUUUGGGGGACAUUUAUGUUGUUAUGGUUUCCACAGAGGCCGUUGUAUAAGUAGUUGUGGGGUUAGUAUGAUUGAGUUGAGUGUGUUGUUCCAUAUCAACUUGUAUUUCAGAUCAGUUUUGAAAAUGAGAUUGUUUUCACCUUCUCACUCUCCAUUGUCAUGGCACAUUAGAGACAUGGGGUGGGACGGAAGAGAAUUUCAUCGAGAAUAUCCUCUUGGACGUUUAUUCCGUCUCAGAUUAAUAAUGUUUCUAUAAUCCAAACUGCAUAUGACGCACGAAAAACUUAAAUGUGGAAAAAGAAGCAUUAUUAAUUUUUCCUUUCCUGUACUAACUCUUCUCGUCAGCAGGAAUGAUCUGCCUUAAAUUUUGCAUAAUUUGUGCACGGAA